rnacentral:tRNA from 1 species
GGGCGGUUAGCUCAGGGGGAGAGCGCUACCUUGACACGGUAGAGGUCACUGGUUCGAAACCAGUAUCGCCCACCA